GAGUCACCUCGUCUGGCUUGGUUCAAAUCUCACUUCACCAUUUCUCACCAGUCGUCGUCUUCUCCACCUGCUUCCGCCACCGAAAUUCAAAACCCAGAACCAGAUCAUCACUAUGGCCACUCCUCCCGCCGUAAUUUCUGAUGUGACCAUGACCCAAAUCGAAGAAGAAGAAGCCCCUCAACAAGAUAACCCUAAUUCCGAACCACCACAUUCCCAAUCCAAAACCGUAACCCUAGAACCCCAUCAAGACCAAGAAAUUCAACUAAACCCGCCUCUUCAAUCGGAGCCAAACCCUAAACCCAAAUCCGAUGACAUUCCCGCCCGAUCUCCUCGUGGCACCACUACCACCACCAUUACCUUCUACCGCCGCGGAACGAAGCGAAACAAGUCCGGUUCAAAGCGAAAAGCCGCCAGUUCGGGGAACAGAAAGGCCCAGCAGAAGGCCCAGCAGAAACUUCAGACCCAGAGAGAAACCCUAAAUCCAAUUCCAUUCGUGCCCUCAAAAAAUCUCGACUUUGAGAAGCACGAGAAACUCCUGAAGUGGCUCAACUUGUGGGACUUCGUCCACAUCGAGUUCGAUCGGAAUCUUCGGGUUGAUCUUCUCGCCCAGUUGAUUUCCAAUUUCAACCCUAACCUGAGGGGCAGCUACGUCAAUGGGUCCAAGGUUAUGGUCAACCGGGCCGACUUGGCACGGGCCUUGAAGCUUCCUUCAAAACAGGUGAAGAAGGGUGGUGCUGUGGCACUACCGGAUGGUGCUGAGGAGCCUCCGGCGGAGGCUGCUUCGGAGGAGUCCAUAGCUUUUAUAGAAGAAUUGGUAUCAAAUUGGGUGCUUUUGCACGAGGAUACGUGGAUGAUGCCAAGCGAGGUGUUGAAUUGGACUAAGGCAAUCAAAGAGGGGCAGUUUGUGAAGGUGGAUUGGGCUGGUUUGAUUUGGUUCAUGGUGGAGAAGGAGUUGGUUCAGGCGCCCAAAUUGGGGGAUUGCUACUAUGCAUCGCAUUUGCAGUGUUUGAUAAAAUCGCAGCGUGAGGAUUUCUUUAUGGUGAAAGAACAAGAGACUCCCCUGGUUGAUGUUGAUGCUGAUGCUGUUGAUGUUGAUGCUGUUGAUGUCGAUGCAGUUGAUGUCGAUGCAAAAGAGGAAGAAGAGGAAGAGGAAGAGGAUGGUGGCGGGGAUGUGAUAAUGGGCGGGGAGGAUGAUUUACAGGGACCCAGCGGAUUGGAAGAACAUAACAUUGAAUUAUGUCUUGGCCAAGAUAAUGUGGAUACAGAUGAUCUUAAGCAAGAGCAAGACAAUGUGGAGAAAACUGAUGUUAGGCAAGAGCUAGACAUUGUGGAUAUAGCUGAUGUUGGGCAGGACAGUGUGGAUAGAACUGAUGUUGGGCAAGAAAACGUCGAGAAAGCUGGUGUUGAGAAGGAGCAAGUUGGGGUUGAGGAUGUAAUGGGUUUUGAAGAAUGUAAGGUGGAAGAGCCUGGCCAUUGGCUUUUGGAUGGGAAGAGCAGUGCAGAUGAACCUUUUUUGCAGCGGUGUAAUCUUGGUGUAGUUAAUUUGGGUUGUGAGGAGGAAGGGAAAAAAGAUAUGGAGUUUGUUGAAGGAAUAGAUGAAGGAAACGAAGAGGAAGAAGAAGAGGACGAGGAGGAGGAAGAGCAGGAGGAGGGAGGUUUUCACCUUUCACUUAAGGAUAUGCCUUUAGAGGGCUUUCAUGCAAUGGAAGCAGCACAUAACCCUCAUAGUUCAGAUAUGUCAAUGCGUGAUCAAUUUGCUGGGGAGUUUCUUUCUUCAAGGGACGAUAGUCGAAUGCUUCCUGGUAGUUGCUCAUUCUUUGGAAGUGGUGGUCUUAAGAGAGAGUUUGUCCAUGAAAAUGCUAACUCUUCUCAUCAUCCUCUCAAUGGUAAUAAGCGGUUGAGGAUGGGUGGCCCUUGGGAUGGUAAGGUCUCAGGUGGUGAAUUUGAUACAUGUUUGGAGCAAGUGCAGCACUGGAUGGAAAAGGCUAAGAUGGUGUAUGCGGAGAAAGAACAAGUUUGCGAGCAAUCAAUGGUUGGCCAGCAGAUGUUACUGGACGAGUUGCACCAAAGGGAGGAGGUGAUUGGUCACUUGCAGAAGGCCAAGGCUGAAGAGCAGCAGAAAAGCAAAAUGGAGAUGUAUCGGCUUGAGCAUGAACUCUAUGUAAUGGGAAAUCUCUUGGAUGGCUACAGGAAGGCUUUAAAGGAAACACAAAAAGCAUUUGCUGAAUAUAGAGCACGUUGUCCGCAAGCUGAUGAGCCACUCUACAGGGAUGUUCCUGGGUCAGGUGGUCUUGUUUUGAGCGCCAUGGAACUGGAAAAGCAACGCCUAAAGAAAGAAGAAGAGGAAAGGAUGACCCGUCUGCUGCUUGAAAAACAGAUUAAGGACUUUGAAGCUGGGUGGAUUAGCAAAUUUGAAGCACACCCCAAGAUUGCUGAAUUACUGAGUAACAGGUUGCAAGAUGCAGAGUUGGAAGUGAAACUUCUUAUUGAACGGCUUGCAAAACGGAGGAUUCCAGAAAUACCAGAGUCUGCUCCAAAUGAAAAUGAAUGAUGCUUGGCAUCAAGUAUUUUAAUCAUCCAAGUGGAAAUUAUAGGUCUAGCAGUGGUGGUAGCCCUGGCCCUUGACCAUUGAUGCUGAUGAUCCCUUUUUGGCAUUGAAGUUUCUUAUAUAAUUGUCUCCAUAACAAAAGGUAAGAGUUCUGCAAACGUAUGCCAGAAAGCUUGGUGCAGCGUUGGACGGGAUGGGGAGGCAAUAUACAAGGAAGAUCAGUGUUUUUUGCAGUGUUUGUGGCUGACAGCAGCCUCUUACUUAACUGGAAGUCAGUCGGCUUUGUGCUGUAGGUCAUAUGCUAGUUCGAACAGUAUCCACAGUGUACAUAUAUUUGAACUUUUGCACAUCAGGAUAUGCUUCUCAAUGCUAAUGAAUGAUAAACAAGCUGCUUUCCUUA